rnacentral:misc_RNA from 1 species
GUAGGUGAACCUGCGGAAGGAUCAUUACAGAGAUGCGUCCCUCCCUCCGGGGAGCGGUCCACGGGUGCGGCCCGGGAUUAAACCCCCCGGGUCCCCGUCUCUUCACCCUUUGUCUACAUUCCUUUGUUGCUUUGGCGGGCCCUGGUCGGUCGCACGGCCACCACGCCAGCUCGGGAUUCGUCCCCUGCCGGCGAGCGCCCGCCAGAGACCCAUACCAUUCUGAUUUUAUCAUGCGGUCUGAGCACACAACAUAAUAAUCAAAACUUUCAACAGCGGAUCUCUUGGUUCUG